AGAGAUGUAGCACAAGUUAGUAGUGUGUUUGUUUUGGGUACCAAAUAUCACGGGAUCAAAAUCCCAUCAUCCCUA
rnacentral:tRNA from 1 species